GUUGCUGCACCUGCAAACACCACGCUCACGCUGCUCUCUGGACUAUCUGCCCCCAUCGAGGAUGUGCCGGCAGCACCUGCCAAGACCAGGACAGAUUCCUAGAAGUGGGGUUCUGGGUCAAGGGAUGCACACCUUCUACAUUCUGGUGACUGCACGGGUUGGGCUGAUCUUAAUCAGCAUGUCGGAGUCACGGGGAGACAGAACGAAGGAAGGACUUCCUAACUGUGAAUGAUGUUCCACAACUGAUGAGACUACCUGGGCUGGGUCGCUGAAUCUCCAGUUUGGAGCGUCGGGGUACUGCUGCAACUCUCUA